CAAAAAACCAGCGUCGCGAAGGCGCUGGCUAGGACGACUACAACCGUCGAGUGCCGUGCAGGUCGCGGCGGACGGCGACGCGGAGCGUCUGAGGAACCGGAGCGGACUGGCUGGCUGCCAGGGCCCGGCGAUCAAUGUGAGCGGAUUCUAGGGACGGUUUUAUAGAUCGUCAACACUAUAAAGUCCCGAAAUCAUAACAAAAAGUAA
rnacentral:sRNA from 16 species